UACGGAGGAUGCAAGCGUUAUCCGGACUGAUUGGGCGUAAAGCGUCCGCAGGUGGCUGUGUAAGUCUGCUGUUAAAUAGUGAGGCUCAACCUCAUAAAGGCAGUGGAAACUACACGGCUAGAGUGCGUUCGGGGCAGAGGGAAUUCCUGGUGUAGCGGUGAAAUGCGUAGAGAUCAGGAAGAACACCGGUGGCGAAAGCGCUCGGCUAGGCCGCAACUGACACUGAGGGACGAAAGCUAGGGGAGCGAAUGGG
rnacentral:rRNA from 1 species